rnacentral:rRNA from 1 species
UACAACGCACUAUUUAUUCAUAGUAGUAGUUGCUGUAAACAGUACUUUAUUGACUAUUAACGCAGGAGACUACAUUUUCUACACAGACUGGGCUUUGACUUCCUUUUUAGUAUUUUCAAUUUCACAAUCUACAAUGCUUGUAGUUGGUGCAAUAUAAUACAUGUUAUUUACAGUAGUUCCAGGAACAGCUACAUAUUAUGAAACAAUUAUGACAAUAUACACAUGGGUUGAAAAAUGAUCAUAGUUUUCACUUCGUUAGCCAAAUUACUUUAUUGGGCUACCAGAAGAAACAAGCAUGCAGCAAUUAUCAUUGGUGGAACUUUGGUAGGAUUAUCAUUACCAAUAUUCAAUAUGAUAAAUCUCUUGCUUGUAAAGGAUCCUCUAGAAAUGGCAUUUAAGUAUCCAAGACCGACGUUACCACCAUAUAUGACACCAAUUGAACCUCAGGUAGGAAAGUUCUAUAACAGUCCCGUUGCGUUAGGCUCCGGUGCAGGAGCAGUCUUAUGUGUACCUAUAGCAGCACUAGGUGCUAAGUUAAAUACAUGG